rnacentral:rRNA from 1 species
UGGGGAAUAUUGCACAAUGGGCGCAAGCCUGAUGCAGCCAUGCCGCGUGUAUGAAGAAGGCCUUCGGGUUGUAAAGUACUUUCAGCGAGGAGGAAGGCGGUAAGGUUAAUAACCUUAUCGAUUGACGUUACUCGCAGAAGAAGCACCGGCUAACUCCGUGCCAGCAGCCGCGGUAAUACGGAGGGUGCAAGCGUUAAUCGGAAUUACUGGGCGUAAAGCGCACGCAGGCGGUCUGUCAAUUCGGAUGUGAAAUCCCCGGGCUCAACCUGGGAACUGCAUUCGAAACUGGCAGGCUAGAGUCUUGUAGAGGGGGGUAGAAUUCCAGGUGUAGCGGUGAAAUGCGUAGAGAUCUGGAGGAAUACCGGUGGCGAAGGCGGCCCCCUGGACAAAGACUGACGCUCAGGUGCGAAAGCGUGGGGAGCAAACA